rnacentral:snRNA from 1 species
UGAUUUGGAGGCAAUCUGGCUGUGCCAUCUGUUACCCCACUGAUGACCAGAGUUGAUUUAGCUAAUCUGACUGGCUAGGCAGGUGCCCCUUUCCUUCCCACUCCAUGAGUGUUGCUCUUGAAGCUGCAUGCUGUGUUGAAGAGGACCACCUUCAUUGGUAGAGGCAUACUAUUCUUCAGUCAAGGGUAUAUAAGUAACUGUGCUCCCCUGCUGAAACAAGCUCCCAAGGUCUAUGACUGAAAAAAAAAAUUAAUGAAAUUUAUUGGACUACAGCAGUUUAUCCAAU